rnacentral:rRNA from 1 species
AAUACGUGCACAAAAGCCGGGUUUCUAGGCCUUCGGGUCACGGUUACGCGGCGUAUUUAUUAGGUUCAAACCAAUGCUUUGGCUUCGGUCAGAGCUCCUUUGGUGAUUCAUAGUAACUGUUCGGACCGCACGACUUCGGUUGGCGGCAGUUCAUUCAAAUUUCUGCCCUAUCAGCUUUCGAUGGUAGUGUAGUGGACUACCAUGGCUAUAACGGGUGACGAGGAAUUAGGGUUCGAUUUCGGAGAGGCAGCCUUAGAAACGGCUACCACAUCCAAGGAAGGCAGCAGGCGCGCAAAUUAUCCAUUGGUCAGAGACCGAGAUAGUGACAAGAAAUAACGAUACCGGGCCUUAACAGGUCUGCGUAAUUGGAAUGAGUACAAUUUAAAUCUCUUAACGAGAACCCAUUGGAGGGCAAGUCUGGUGCCAGCAGCCGCGGUAAUUCCAGCUCCAAUAGCGUAUAUUAAUGUUGCUGCAAUUAAAGAGCUCGUAGUUGGAUUUCUGGGAGGGACAUACUGGCCCACCACGGCAACGUGCGUGUGUGUCGGCAGUCACCGACCAUCUUUCUAGUGCGCUUUAACUCGGCCUUCGUUGGUUCGGGUUAAAGUAAUCUAGAUCUUUUACUUUGAAAAAAUUAGAGUGCUCAAGGCAGGCGUCUGCUCUGAAUACAUUAGCAUGGGAUAAUACAAUAGGACUUCGGUCUUAUUUGUUGGUUUGAAGGCUGAAGUAAUGAUUGAUAGGGAACAUUGGGGGUGCUAGUAUACGGCGGCCAGAGGUGAAAUUCUUGGAUUCGUUGUAGACUAACUUAUGCGAAAGCAUUCACCAAGGAGUUCUUCUUUAAUCAAGAACGAAAGUUGGGGGAUCGAAGACGAUCAGAUACCGUCGUAGUCUCAACUAUAAACUCCUGCGACUAGAGGCACGUGACGGGUUGAAUGUAUAAAAACGACCUCAUGUGAACCUUUUGAGAAAUCAAAGUUUUUAGUGCUUGGGGGGAGUAUGGUCGCAAGGCUGAAACUUAAAGGAAUUGACGGAAGGGCACCACCAGGAGUGGAGCCUGCGGCUUAAUUUGACCAACACGGGAAAACUUACCGGGUCCGGACAAAAUGAGGAUUGACAGAUUGAAGAUCUUUCUUGAUUUUUUGGGUGGUGGUGCAUGGCCGUUCUUAGUUGGUGGAGUGAUUUGUCUGGUUUAUUCCGAUAACGAACGAGACCUCAACCUGCUAAAUAGCUCGGUCAACUUUCGAGUUGACACGUUUUUGGCUUCUUAGAGGGACUUUGGGUAACCAAUCCAAGGAGGUUUGAGGCAAUAACAGGUCUGUGAUGCCCUUCGAUGUUCCGGGCCGCACGCGCGCUACACUGUCACAAGCAACGAGUUAAUCCUAGGCCGGAAGGCUGUGGAAAUCUCUAAAACUUUGACGUGCUGGGGAUAGAGCAUUGUAAUUAUUGCUCUUCAACGAGGAAUUCCUAGUAAACGCGAGUCAUCAACUCGCAUUGAUUACGUCCCUGCCCUUUGUACACACCGCCCGUCGCUACUACCGAUUGAAUGUGUUAGUGAGCUGCACAGACGGGACGUCUGACCAGCUUGCUGGGAAGCGGCCUCGGAAGUGUAACAAACUUGCUCAUUUAGAGGAAGUAAAAGUCAUAACAGGGUU